rnacentral:rRNA from 1 species
UUUGGAAUUUUGGACAAUGGACGAAAGUCUGAUCCAGCGACGCCGCGUGGACGAUGAAGGCCUUCGGGUUGUAAAGUCCUUUUGCUCGGGAACAAUUUUUGAGCGUACCGAGAGAAUAAGAGGUUGCUAACUCUGUGCCAGCAGCAGCGGUAAUACAGAGACCUCAAGCGUUAUCCGGAAUCAUUGGGCGUAAAGCGUACCGAUAGGUGGUUGUAUAAGUCAGAAGUGAAAUCUCCGAGCUUAACUCGGAAUCUGUCUUUUGAAACUAUACAACUAGAGGGGCAAAGAGGAAGCUGGAACGAACGGUGUAGUAGUGAAAUGCGUUGAUAUCGUUCGGAACACCGAUAGCGUAGGCAGGCUUCUGGGUGCCACCUGGCACUGCUAGGACGAAAGCGUGGGGAGCGAAUG